rnacentral:lncRNA from 1 species
UUUUAUUCUCCUAUUUAGCAAUAUAUUCCGUGUCCUCCAAACUCUAAGUUACAAGUUUUUUCAAAUAAGAACUUGAAAAAGUACCAAAGUUUGGGACACUAGGGACAGACUAUCAUUGGUACAGCAGCCUCAGCCUGGUUUCCAUCAAGGACCGGCUGUGAAAUGGAGGGGCUCGGAGGGCCACAGUCAAGAGCCUAGUGAGUUGGAAUUCCGUUAACAGCUCUACCUCUCUUCCGCUGUGUAACCUCGGGCUAGAGUUCAGAAGUGAGUGGUCUGGAUUCAGAAGACUGCCAGAAGCUAAGUGAGGUACAUCACAAAGGAACACAGGACUGUGAGCUAGAACAGGAGAGUGAAUGUUCGCUGGGGCCUUCCAGAAGACAGUUCAGUCUUAGCAAACUGGCCAGGAAGGAUUUUCAUCAAGAUGGAGGAAAAACCUGGAGAUCUUUGGCUCAAAGGACAUGACCUAAUUCUACAGAUGAAUCUGUACUGACGUUAGAAAACCACUGGUGGAACAUAAAACUUGUACAUUCUUCUAAAAAUGAAGGUAGAUCACAGCAGACUCAAUCUAUUUAUAGCCAGUCAUAUCAACAUUACUGAUUGGGAAUUACCAAAAGAGGUGAAAUUAUUUAACAAAUCCUUUGUUAAGUCAUAUUCUGAACCUACAGAUGUCAAUUUCAGGUGUUUAUUUUUUAAAUAAAGAUAAUUAAAACACUAAAAA